GUUAAUUUGGCAGAAUAGUGUAAUAGAUUUAGAAUCUUUUAAAGUAAGAAAUUUACAAUUAACA
rnacentral:tRNA from 1 species